AGGACGAACGCUGGCGGCGUGCUUAACACAUGCAAGUCGAGCGGAAAGGCCCUUCGGGGUACUCGAGCGGCGAACGGGUGAGUAACACGUGAGUAAUCUGCCCCUAGCUCUGGGAUAGCUCCGGGAAACCGGGAUUAAUACUGGAUACGACCACCUUAGACAUCUUUUGUGGUGGAAAGAAUUUCGGCUAGGGAUGAGCUCGCGGCCUAUCAGCUUGUUGGUGGGGUGAUGGCCUACCAAGGCGACGACGGAUA
rnacentral:rRNA from 1 species